CACUGAGGGGCAGGGCCUCAACCUGCUGAGCUCUAUAUAAGCCUGCUGCACCCACAGGAAUGAUGGCACUGGGUAGAGUUUAAAGGACUGUUGGGAAUUAUCUGCAGCUUCAGCAUGCCGUCCAAGCCUGCCCCAAUCAAGAAGGCGGCAAAGAAAGAACCAGCCAAGACGGAGGAGAAGGCUCCAGACCCGGCUCCACAACCUGCACCGGAGGCCGCUCCUACCGAAGCCGCCCCACCUCAAACCACCCCAGCGCCAGCUGAGAAGCCCAAACCUCCAACCCCUCCACCUGCAGACGCUGCUCCUGCUGCUGCCUCUGAGGCACCUGCUGAUGAGCCCACAAGUGCUCCUGUGGAUCUGUUUGUUGAGGACAAGAAUGACACUUCGGUUACUAUCAUUUGGAGCCAGCCAGAGAACAUUGGACCCACUGGUCUGGAUGGAUAUGUCAUUGAAGUCUGCAAGGAUGGAACUGCGGAUUGGAAAGCAGUCAAUGAGGGUCUGCAGAAGUCCUGCCGCUACAUUAUCAAAGACCAGACCACUGGUGACCGUUUGAAGAUCCGCGUGGUGGCUGUGAACGCUGGUGGCUGCAGCCCCCCUGUCACUCUCCAGGAUGCUGUCCUGGUGGAGGAGAUUGCUGACCGCCCCAAGAUUCGCCUGCCUCGUUUCCUGAGACAAAGACAUGUUGCUCGUGUUGGAGACAAGAUCAAUCUGACCAUCCCCUUCACAGGUAAACCCAAACCUGUGGUCACAUGGACAAAGAAUGGACAGCCUGUGGACACAAAGAGGGUGAACACCCGCAACACUGACAGAGACAGCAUCCUGUUUAUCCGUGCAGCCGAGAGAGAAGACUCCGGAGUGUAUGAGAUGUGUGUGAAGGUGGAGGACUCCGAGGACAAGGCUUCAAUUACCCUUCAAAUUGUUGAGCUGCCAGGGCCUCCUGCCAGUGUAAAGAUUGUGGAUAACUGGGGCUUCAAUGUCGCUCUGGAGUGGGCUCCCCCCACUGACAACGGAAACACAGAAAUCACAGGUUACACAGUCCAGAAGGCUGACAAAAAGACUGGAGAGUGGUUCAACGUGUUGGAGCAUUACCACAGACUGAAUGCCACCGUCUCUGACCUCAUCAUGGGAAACUCCUACAAGUUCAGAGUGUUUUCUGAAAACAAGGUCGGAAAGAGCGAGAGCGCUGCUGUUACAAAGCAGGAGGCCAAGAUUCUGAAGACAGGUAUUAACUACAAGCCUUCUGAUUAUAAGGAGCACAGUUUCAGUGAGGCGCCCAAGUUCACCACCUCUCUGAAUGACAGAGCCACUACUGCCGGCUACAGCACCAAGCUCCUUUGCUCUGUCAGAGGAUUCCCAAAACCCACGAUUCAGUGGAUGAAGAACCAGAUGAUUAUCGGAGACAACCCCAAGUAUAGGCAGAUCUGCGUCCAGGGUAUCUGCUCUCUGGAGAUCCGUAAGCCCGGUAACUUUGACGGAGGUGUGUACUCGUGCAGAGCCCUCAACGAUCUCGGAGAGGCAACUGUCAGCUGCAAGCUGGAGGUCAAACAACCAGCAAUUCCAGAUGCAGACAAGAAAUAGGGCAACAUUCUCAUAUUCACAGGAGUGGAGGGAGACCUUGGCAGCAUAAGAAAGGUGCUGGAUUCCUGUACGAACAUGUAUAUAUGGCUGAUGACCACACUAUCAGAGGGAUGUUACCUAUGACUGCCUGCCAAGUGUUAUGCUGAACAAUGUUGGUGCUUUAUGCCUUUCUGUAACAUUAGUGUAAGUCCAUGUCCACAGUCAGCUUGUUCCCCAAGAAUACAGUUUGUUUUUCUGUAAACUGAUAAAUGAAGUAGUGUAAAGACUAUGUUGUGCAAACCUCAAUCUAUAUUGUACCAAAUAGUAUUCUAGUGUCCAUAGUUCUAGUGAAAAAUGAAUAAAAUGCAGUAAAACAGGGACAAUUAAAUGUGAGACUAAGCUGCCAAGCAUGCGCCUUAAGUUAAUGCAGAUUUUGCCUUGUAUUUUGGUUCCGACUCAUUUUCAUGUACAUAUCUGAACUACUGAGCAUCUGGAAGUUAAAGAAACUGGUAACACUUUAGUUUAUGGGUCUGUCAUUUCAGAAAUGUUUUUCUACAAGGAACUGUGUAACAUAGUACUAAUCUUAGGGAAAACUUAAUUAAUUCCAGUUAAUUGCAUGAUGAAACUUUGGUCAGUAUAGAGCAGGUCAUCUGAAAAUGCAAGAGAGUGAACGUGUCUG